GCUGGCUCGGCCUCUCUGGGCUCCCAGGUCUGUCCUCUCCACUCACAGAGUCUGUCCGACUUCACCUGGGCUCCUCUUCCCUGUGUGGCAACUUGGAUAUCCUCUCCUAAGGCAAGAAGCCAGGACACUUGAAUGAAAGGCACUUCCUCUGACCAGGAUUCUGAUGACUUUAGCUUCACUUUUCUUUACUCUCCAUUGCCUUCACUGCUGGACAUGUGAUGACUCCUGGAGGCUCAGGCUUGCACAUCCUUACACCUACUAGAUGGCAG